GCGCCCUUAGCUCAACUGGAUAGAGCAUCUGACUACGGAUCAGAAGGUUGGGGGUUCGACUCCUCCAGGGCGCG
rnacentral:tRNA from 1 species